CAGUCGCCGCGGUAAUACGAAGGGUGCAAGCGUUAAUCGGAAUUACUGGGCGUAAAGCGUGCGUAGGCGGUUUGUUAAGUCUGUUGUGAAAUCCCCGGGCUCAACCUGGGAAUGGCAAUGGAUACUGGCAAGCUAGAGUGUGUCAGAGGAUGGUGGAAUUCCCGGUAUAGCGGUGAAAUGCAUAGAGAUCGGGAGGAACAUCAGUGGCGAAGGCGGCCAUCUGGGACAACACUGACGCUGAGGCACGAAAGCGUGGGGAGCAAACAGGAUUAGAUACCCCGGUAGUCCCUGUCUCUUAUAC
rnacentral:rRNA from 1 species